rnacentral:rRNA from 1 species
UAGUCCACGCUGUAAACGAUGAUCACUCGCUGUUGGCAAUACAUCGUCAGUGGCUGAGCAAAAGCAUUAAGUGAUCCACCUGGGGAGUACGUCGGCAACGAUGAAACUCAAAGGAAUUGACGGGGGCCCGCACAAGCGGUGGAACAUGUGGUUUAAUUCGAUGAUACGCGAGGAACCUUACCUGGGCUUAAAUGGCUAGAACGACGGUUUCCCGAAAGGGAUCCUUCUUCGGACGGACUGCAAGGUGCUGCAUGGUUGUCGUCAGCUCGUGCCGUGAGGUGUCGGGUUAAGUCCCAUAACGAGCGCAACCCCUAUUGUUAGUUGCCAGCGAGUAAUGUCGGGGACUCUAACGAAACUGCCGGUGUAAGCCGAGAGGAAGUGGGGAUGACGUCAAAUCAGCACGGCCCUUAUGUCCAGGGCUACGCACGUGUUACAAUGGUCGGUACAGAGGGCAGCUACUUGGUGACAAAAUGCUAAGUCUCGAAAACCGGUCUUAGUUCGGA